UAAUACAGAGAGUGCAAACGUUGUUCGGAAUUACUGGGCUUAAAGCGCGCGUAGGCUGCAUCGUAAGUGUCUGGUGAAAUCCCACGGCUCACCCGUGGAACUGCCAGGCAUACUGCGGUGCUAGAGUGUGGUAGGGGAGAGCGGAACUCCUGGUGGAGCGGUGAAAUGCGUAGAUAUCAGGAGGAACACCGGUGGCGAAGGCGGCUCUCUGGUCCAUAACUGACGCUGAGGUGCGAAAGCUAGGGGAGCAAACGGG
rnacentral:rRNA from 1 species